UACGGGGGGAGCAAGCGUUGUUCGGAUUUACUGGGCGUAAAGGGCGCGUAGGCGGCCACCGCAAGUCAAUUGUGAAAUCUCCGGGCUUAACUCGGAAAGGUCAACUGAUACUGCGGGGCUAGAGUGCGGAAGGGGCAACUGGAAUUCUCGGUGUAGCGGUGAAAUGCGUAGAUAUCGAGAGGAACACCUGCGGCGAAGGCGGGUUGCUGGGCCGACACUGACGCUGAGGCGCGAAAGCCAGGGGGAGCGAAACGGGG
rnacentral:rRNA from 1 species